UACGGGGGGGGCAAGCGUUGUUCGGAAUUACUGGGCGUAAAGGGCUCGUAGGCGGCCAACUAAGUCGGAUGUGAAAUCCCCAGGCUUAACCUGGGAACUGCAUCCGAUACUGGAUGGCUUGAAUCCGGGAGAGGGAUGCGGAAUUCCAGGUGUAGCGGUGAAAUGCGUAGAUAUCGAGAGGAACACCUGCGGCGAAGGCGGGUUGCUGGGCUGACACUGACGCUGAGGCGCGAAAGCUAGGGGAGCGAACGGG
rnacentral:rRNA from 1 species